GGGGACGAACUGGUCUCGACUACCAUUUCGCGCUAAAGAAAAGCAUGCGAAGUACCCUCUUCUAAAAAGGGAAAUCGGUAAUAACUGCCGACAACACUGAAUUUGCAUUGGCAGCGUAAGCUCCUUGCGCUUUAUAAUUUGUUUGCUUUCGAUAAAUUAUAAAGCUUAACCUUUGAAAGCUAGGCAAAACGACUCAGGUAAACUUUGCUGAAAACUUAUCCUGAUAAGAAGUUUAGGCUUUGUCUGUAGAGAACGAACUUCUGAAACUCAAAAUAUAGACUAAGCAUGUAGAAAGCUUUGGUUAGAGUGGCAGGACGCGGGUUCGACUCCCGCCGUCUCCAAAU
rnacentral:tmRNA from 1 species